UAUUUGUUGUAAGAAUUAUCUUAAGUAGAACCCUAUGAGUUUAGCAACUAAUAUAUGACAUUCUGUAUUUCAACUUUUUAAAAUCCUGUCUCCUCUUUCACAAAAUUGAUCAAGAGUUGUCACUCAUGCCUCGGUCUGGAACCAAUAUUCCCCAAAGCUUCUGGUUUUACUAACGCUAAUUAUAAAUGAGGGCUUGGUGGUUCCGCUGUCCCCCAUGGCAUGGAGACAGAAAAGGCUUCCAAAGGAAAACACAUUUUCUCAGAUUCUUCGUCCUUUUAUCCUUUUCCUUCUCACAGUGUUUUUGCCUGGCAUCUCAAGAGUUAGAAAUUCACAACCUAGUAUAAAAAAGGUAACAUCCGCCGUCAGGUUACCAAGUAAUUCAGAACUGAGUGAAUCAUAGGGUCUCUAGCAGAGCCUGGAAUUACUCAAUGGACUUCACCUCUGACUUCAUCUAAUAGCUGGAAGGAAGUCCAGGAGCAGAAUUAAGAAAAGAAAUUAGGAAAAUUGCCCUCUAAAAGCUCCUGGAAGUCUUCUGGCUCUAGAAGUGGAGGAGACAUCAUUCACCUUGGGAGGCGUCUUCUUUUGUUUUGGGAAAACCACCAGGAUGAACAACUUUAGUUUAAAAAGACAAGUCUCCAGUAUAAAUACAUAUAACCAUUGCAUAUACCAAUGCAUCUAAUCUUCCUAACAUUUAGAAUGUUUUGAAAGAACCAGGAGUUGAAACAAGAAAAAAACAACAACAGCAACAAACCUCACCUACAGUGGAGUUCUUCCCACUAUCAGUGUGUGUGGCCUUUCAUUCAGAAGUCCCGGGACCUGAAACAGUUCUAGCCGUGCAGGCAGUGCUUAAUAAAUUCUGGCCGAAUGAACUGGAUGGAUGCAUCAGCAGGGACCCUCCACCCACACAGUGCCCGGAAGAGGAGAGUCCUCACCCAUCUCUCUGGUUUGGGAGUCAGGAAGAGAGAGGAAUUCAGUAGACUAAUGCAGCCAGAUAUCUAAACUAUUCAAAUCAUGCAUCAUUAAUGCCCUUUUUCUGAUUCCCCAAACCUCGCAGGCGUUCUUGAUUCUUUCCUUUCCUCUAUAUCCAGUCCAGGAUCCUCAUCCGUCGCACCCCACAAAAUGUUUUUGAAUCUUUUUGUCUUCACCAUGGCUCUUACUCCAAGCCCCAUCGUUGCCCAUCGAGACUAUUGCAGUCAUCGACCUUUUAACUGUUCUCACUGCUUCCGCUCUGGCUUCCCAUCCACCCAGCUGCCACGUGAUCGUUUACGAAGUCGCUCCCAUGCCUGAAAUCAUCCAGUUGCUUCAAACUGCAUGCAGGACAGUGCCCUAACUCAUCAUGAUAACCCUGGAAGCCCUAUGAGAACUGACCUCCACUUUCCUUCUCUAUUUUGUCCCCCACCCAUCUGUCCCUCACUUAUUUUCUUAUAUCCACAGAGGCCUUCCCUCUGCUCCCUAAACUUGCCAAACUCUGCCUCAGGACCUUUGUCCCUGCUACUUCCCCAGCCCUGGCUCAAAAGGCUGCCUUUUUCUCGUCAUUCAGAAAGCCUUCCCUAAUACGCCUAGCCCUUGUCACCAAGGACAACCUAUUCCUCAUCUCGUUUUGUUUUCUUUAUAGGACUUAUCUCUGUCUGGCGCUGGUUUUAAUUGUUGUUUACUUGUUUCCGGGCUCCUCUUUCCUAGGAAUGUGUUCCUGCAUGGGCAGGGCAUUGUAAAUAUUGUUGACCGUUGUAGCCUCUUUCCAAAAUCUCUGU